ensembl:lncRNA
UACAUGCGGAGAGACCGAGAUGUGCAGUGGACGAUUAAAGAGGACGUUGACAUCCAUAGAGGUGAGUCACACACAUUGACGGAAGCGAUGGCCGUUUUGUGUUGUCUGUGUCAUGUUUGCACUUUGUUCGGGUUCUUUACAUGUGUAACUCUUUGCUUUGACACACUCUGUCCUUGAGGUGUUGGCUGUUUUCCAUCUGGGUCAUGUUUGGACUUUAUCCUGGUCACUUGUCUGCGUCAUUCAUGGGUUUGACAUAAAUUGAAGACAUGGGACUUUGAUUGUUUGCUGAUGUCGCCAUAUGUUUUGUUUCUUUUACAUGCCGAGAGACGAGAUCUGCAGUGGACGAUUAAAGACGACGUAGACAUCCAUAGAGGUGAAAUUCCAUUAAGAAGAAGAAGAAGAAGAAGAAGAAGAAGAAGAAGAAGAAGAAGAAGAAGAAGAAGAAGAAGAAGAAGAA